rnacentral:rRNA from 1 species
GCGGCAGGCUUAUCACAUGCAAGUCGAGCGGAAACGAUGGGAGCUUGCUCCCAGGCGUCGAGCGGCGGACGGGUGAGUAACACUUAGGAAUCUACCUAGUAGUGGGGGAUAGCUCGGGGAAACUCGAAUUAAUACCGCAUACGUCCUACGGGAGAAAGGGGGCAGUUUACUGCUCUCGCUAUUAGAUGAGCCUAAGUCGGAUUAGCUAGAUGGUGGGGUAAAGGCCUACCAUGGCGACGAUCUGUAGCUGGUCUGAGAGGAUGAUCAGCCACACCGGGACUGAGACACGGCCCGGACUCCUACGGGAGGCAGCAGUGGGGAAUAUUGGACAAUGGGGGGAACCCUGAUCCAGCCAUGCCGCGUGUGUGAAGAAGGCCUUUUGGUUGUAAAGCACUUUAAGCAGUGAAGAAGACCUAACGGUUAAUACCCGUUAGCGAUGACAUUAGCUGCAGAAUAAGCACCGGCUAACUCUGUGCCAGCAGCCGCGGUAAUACAGAGGGUGCAAGCGUUAAUCGGAAUUACUGGGCGUAAAGCGAGCGUAGGUGGCUUGAUAAGUCAGAUGUGAGAUCCCCGGGCUUAACCUGGGAACUGCAUCUGAUACUGUUAAGCUAGAGUAGGUGAGAGGGGAA